rnacentral:misc_RNA from 1 species
ACAAACUUGGUCAUUUAGAGGAAGUAAAAGUCGUAACAAGGUUUCCGUAGGUGAACCUGCGGAAGGAUCAUUACCGAGUGUAAAACCCCCUAAAAAAGGGGGGUUACCUCCCGUCCUUUGCUGGGUCCCCCCUAAACUAUAAAAGUUUGGGGGAAGGACUUUUUCAAACCUUCUGCUUUGGUGGGCAAACCUAGGUUCUUACCCGGGACCCACCAGAACAACUUCAUAAAAAAUUCUUUAAAAUUGUUCAGUCCGAGAAAUUUUUCAAAAAAUCGUAAAAACUUUCAACAACGGAUCUCUUGGUUCUGGCAUCGAUGAAGAACGCAGC